rnacentral:rRNA from 1 species
AUGCUUGAAUCAGCUAUACCAUUUAGAAGUGCAUUUGAUGCCUUAGGGCAGCAAGACAAGGAGUACGAGUUUUGUCCAACACCUAUUGAAUGGAAAAUGGCUGAAUCUGCAUGCAAAUUGCUAAAAGGAUUUUACACAGCAACCAAACUUCUCUUUGGAUCUAAGUAUCCGACUAGUCAUCUCUACUUCCCCCGGCUAUGUAAGAUUAAGAAGAUCUUGAAGAGAGAGUCAUCAAGUAAGAACACCAUCAUUGCGCAUAUGGUGCAGCAAAUGGAAAUAAAGUUAGAGAAGUAUUGGAAGAAGUCCUACAAGUCGAUUUGUGUUCCGGUUGUAUUUGAUCCAAGGUUUAAGUUUGAUCUACUUGAAUAUAUGUUAAAAGACUUUGGAAGUGAAAUUGAAGCCAAUAAAUGGAUGCUUAAAUUAAAGAAAGCAAUCCAAAAGCUUUUCGAUCAGUACUCUCUAGAGAUUCCUGUUCAUCACCAACAAGAAGAUUGUGGGAGUCCUGGUGCCGAGGAGGAUGAAGAAGACGAUGAUCCACUUGCAGAGUGGGAUCAUUAUAUCCGUUGCAAAAAAGGACAAGCAAAUAAUGAGCUGGAUCAGUAUUUGAAAGAGUUGUAUCCACGGAAGAAAGAGUUGGACAUAUUAGAAUGGUGGAAAAUCAACUCUCCCAAGUAUCCGGUACUCUCUACGAUUGCUCGCGACAUAUUAGCUAUUUCGGCGUCCACAGUGCCAUCCGAGUCUGCUUUUAGUUCUGGAGGACGCAUUGUCAGCGACUAUAAGAGCAGUCUUUCUUGCUCCACCGUCGAAGCUUUGAUUUGCCUACAAGAUUGGCUGAGAACUGAUGAUCUAGAAUAA